GAUGAACGCUGGCGGCGUGCCUAAUACAUGCAAGUCGAGCGAACAGACGAGGAGCUUGCUCCUCUGACGUUAGCGGCGGACGGGUGAGUAACACGUGGAUAACCUACCUAUAAGACUGGGAUAACUUCGGGAAACCGGAGCUAAUACCGGAUAACAUGUUGAACCGCAUGGUUCAACAGUGAAGGACGGUCUUGCUGUCACUUAUAGAUGGAUCCGCGCCGCAUUAGCUAGUUGGUAAGGUAACGGCUUACCAAGGCAACGAUGCGUAGCCGACCUGAGAGGGUGAUCGGCCACACUGGAACUGAGACACGGUCCAGACUCCUACGGGAGGCAGCAGUAGGGAAUCUUCCGCAAUGGGCGAAAGCCUGACGGAGCAACGCCGCGUGAGUGAUGAAGGUCUUCGGAUCGUAAAACUCUGUUAUUAGGGAAGAACAAAUGUGUAAGUAACUAUGCACGUCUUGACGGUACCUAAUCAGAAAGCCACGGCUAACUACGUG
rnacentral:rRNA from 1 species